rnacentral:rRNA from 1 species
GAUGAACGCUAGCGGCAGGCUUAAUACAUGCAAGUCGUACGGGAUCCGAGGUAGCAAUACUUUGGUGAGAGUGGCGCACGGGUGCGUAACACGUAUGCAACCUACCUAUAACCGGGACACAACCUCGAGAAAUUGAGGCUAAUAUCCCAUAACACUGCGAGAUGGCAUCAUUUUGCAGUUAAAACUCCGGUGGUUAUAGAUGGGCAUGCGCGACAUUAGCUAGUUGGUGAGGUAACGGCCCACCAAGGCUACGAUGUCUAGGGGUUCUGAGAGGAUUAUCCCCCAACUGGUACUGAGACACGGACCAGACUCCUACGGGAGGCAGCAGUAAGGAAUAUUGGUCAAUGGGCGCAAGCCUGAACCAGCCAUGCCGCGUGAAGGAUGACGGCCCUAUGGGUUGUAAACUUCUUUUGUACGGGAAAAAACCACCGGUCGUGUAUCGGUGCUGAUGGUACCGUAAGAAUAAGCAUCGGCUAACUCCGUGCCAGCAGCCGACC